AAUGAACGCUGGCGGCGUGCUUAACACAUGCAAGUCGAGCGAGGCCUGGGGGGCAACUCCCAGAGUCGAGCGGCGGACGGGUGAGUAACACGUGGGUAACCUGCCCGGAAGUGGGGAAUACCUCGGGGAAACUCGAGCUAAUACCGCAUGACAUCUUUGGGACGAAAGUCCUGACGAUCAAAGCGGGGUCGCAAGAUCUCGCGCUACCGGAUGGGCCCGCGCCCGAUUAGCUAGUUGGGAGGUAACGGCUCACCAAGGCUUCGAUCGGUAACCGGCCUGAGAGGGCGAUCGGUCACACCGGAACUGAGACACGGUCCGGACUCCUACGGGAGGCAGCAGUGGGGAAUCUUGCGCAAUGGGCGAAAGCCUGACGCAGCAACGCCGCGUGGAGGAUGAAGGCCCUUGGGUUGUAAACUCCUGUCGGCUGGGAAGAAAUCGUACAGUGCUCAUACCACUGUG
rnacentral:rRNA from 1 species